UGGAGUCUGCAACCCGACUCCAUGAAGCUGGAUUCGCUAGUAAUCGCGCAUCAGCCACGGCGCGGUGAAUACGUUCCCGGGCCUUGUACACACCGCCCGUCAAGCCAUGGAAGCCGGGAGUGCCUGAAGUGCGUGAGCGCAAGCAGCGCCCUAAGGUAAAACCGGUGACUGGGGCUAAGUCGUAACAAGGUAUC
rnacentral:rRNA from 1 species